rnacentral:lncRNA from 1 species
UCUGGAGGUUCCUGGAGAGCAGACCAGAAGGGAGGACCCGCGGAGACCACCUGCCUCAAACUGCCCAUUUUACAGGUAGAGAACGCGGCCCAGAAGGCCGACGAUCACAGAGGGCAGCUGUUCAUGAAGCUGAUGGCUGCUUGCUCCAGGUCACAGAGCACAGCCGUGGAGUAAAUACAGCACAGCCCACAGCAUGCAGAGCCAUCCUCCCGUCAGAGACUCCCUCCCGCAUCGCCCGGGGUUUGGCUGCGAUGACCACACCUGCAGUGGACAUUCGCAUGCAGGCUCCGUGGUGUGGACCUGUGUGCGUUCCUCCCGGGAAUGAGGAGACAAGUGCCUGGAGAUGGUGCCUGCCCAGGUCCUCGGCUGGUCCUCGGGCCCCUCGGGCUGGAGCUGCUCUGGGGGGCUGGAGCUCUGGAGGGCACCCUCCUGGCCGGCCUCUGCCUCCCUGGCUCCGCCCACGGCCAAGUGUACUGAUUCCAGUGACAUUGGCUAAAACAAAGAUGAUUCUGGAGGAGAGGAAGAAACCAAAGACAAGGAAGGAGGCCCGGCGGAGGCUGGGGGCUUCAUUUUCGGAGGAGGACCCCUGCCUGGAGAGGUGUGAGGUGGCACGGUCCCUCAACACUGGGAAGCGGUGCAGAGCCCUGGACACCUGCCAGGAAGGGGGACUGGAAUCCGUCACAUCUGUGGCCUCUGGGCUCACAUAGGGACCCAGCCGCAUCCCUGGUGUCCUGGGCCUUGAUUCCGUCUUCGUCCAGUGAGAAGAACGCGCUCCUUCCUGCUGACCUGCGGGAUUGGAAAUGCAAGUUAAAUGCUGUUGUAUGCAAACGUUGUCUGUGUAAUUAGUAAUAGAUGGCCAGUGGGCAAGUUCUUUUCAGUGGGUGAAUUAUUUCAACCAUCACACCCAACCUGCAACCUCGGGCCACACUGGUCCAGGAAUGAGCUACUAAGAGUUUAUGAUAAAUAUGUCUAAAAAUCGAGAAGCCCAGUAGCAAUUUGGCAGGAUCAUUGUGUCUCUUGAAUCUCAUACUAAA